GCCGAUGUAGCUCAGCUGGUAGAGUACUUCCAUGGUAAGGAAGGGGUCACGGGUUCGAGUCCCGUCAUUGGCU
rfam:Cytophaga hutchinsonii ATCC 33406, complete genome.